rnacentral:rRNA from 1 species
GCUUACGGCCACACCGCCUGGUUCCACGCGCGAUCUCGUUUGAUCUCGGAAGAUAAGAUAGGGUGGGCCUGGUUAGUACCUGGAUGGGAGACCGCCUGGGAAUACCAGGUGCUGUAAGCU